rnacentral:rRNA from 1 species
AACAGGAUUAGAUACCCUGGUAGUGCACGCUGUAAACGAUGAUUACUCGUUGUCGGCGAUAUACAGUCGGUGGCUAAGCGAAAGUGAUAAGUAAUCCACCUGGGGAGUACGAUCGCAAGGUUGAAACUCAAAGGAAUUGACGGGGGCCCGCACAAGCGGAGGAGCAUGUGGUUUAAUUUGAUGAUACGCGAGGAACCUUACCUGGGCUUAAAUGUAGAUUGCAUGAUGGGGAAACCUGUCUUUUCUUCGGAACUAUUUACAAGGUGCUGCAUGGUUGUCGUCAGCUCGUGCCGUGAGGUGUCGGGUUAAGUCCCAUAACGAGCGCAACCCCUACCUUUAGUUGCCAUCAGGUUAAGCUGGGGACUCUAAAGGAACUGCCUACGCAAGUAGUGAGGAAGGUGGGGAUGACGUCAAAUCAGCACGGCCCUUACGUCCAGGGCUACACACGUGCUACAAUGGUCGGUACAGAGGGUCGCUACCCCGCGAGGGGAUGCCAAUCUCGAAAGCCGAUCUCAGUUCGGAUCGAAGUCUGAAACUCGACUUCGUGAAGUUGGAUUCGCUAGUAAUCGCGCAUCAGCCAUGGCGCGGUGAAUACGUUCCCGGGCCUUGUACACACCGCCCGUCAAACAAUGGAAGCUUGGGGUACCUGAAGUCCGUCACCGCGAGGAUCGGCCUAGGGUAAAACAAGUAACUGGGUAAGUCGUAACAAGGUAACC